CCUACGGGAGGCAGCAGUGGGGAAUAUUGCACAAUGGGGGAAACCCUGAUGCAGCGACGCCGCGUGAGUGAAGAAGUAAUUCGUUACGUAAAGCUCUAUCAGCAGGGAAGAAAAUGACGGUACCUGAGUAAGAAGCCCCGGCUAACUACGUGCCAGCAGCCGCGGUAAUACGUAGGGGGCAAGCGUUAUCCGGAUUUACUGGGUGGAAAGGGAGCGUAGACGGUGGGCCAAGUCUGGAGUGAAAUGCCGCAGCUUAACUGCGGAACUGCUUUUGAAACUGGCGAACUAGAGUGCGGGAGGGGGAAGCGGAAUGUCUGGGGUAGCGGUGAAAUGCGGAGAUAGUGGGAGGAACAGCGGUGGCGAAGGAGGCUUACUGGACCGUAACUGACGUUGAGGCUCGAAAGCGUGGGGAGCAUACAGGAUUAGAUACCCCAGUAGUC
rnacentral:rRNA from 1 species